CAUCUUUUCGACAAAUUCUGUGCGAAAUUUCGCGAAUUCGCCAAUUUCUGGGAAGGCAAAGAUUUGAAAGAAGGAAAAACAGUACACUUUUCCACUGCUUUUCAGAAAGGCUUCCUAAUUCGUUCGAGAGUGCAACCAGCAUUAAUGUCAGCGGGCUUUAAAGUUACUGAUACAUUUGCCAACUUCGCCUUCAAAAGAUUCAAGGAAAAAGAACAUCCUGGAGCUGUAUCUCUCAACGGCUUCGUGGCAAUUUGCCUUACUUUUUUGCACUCCGACAUGGUUCAUAGAUUGCAAGAUCAGACGAUGGACUCCUAAGACACCUUGCCACAUUGCAGUUCAAGCUAGGGGCGGAUUACGGCACGGAAUUUUAGCUCGACCUUGAAGCAUUGUAGCCAUAUAUGCCCAGCGUUGCCAUUUUCUACCAAGGUAGGGGUAAUAAAAAACAGUGCCGUAAUCUGCCCCCUAGUCAUCGCCAAUUGUUUUUAAUGUAAAUCGACUAGUAUAUGGUCAAAUUCACCCUCCAGUCCCAACUUGUUCCGCUCGACCGAGGCGUACCCCGGCCCCGACGCCACUCCUGAGUGAGAGCAAAUCUGCGCUCUGUCCCUGCUCCGGGGCGAAAGUUACCGUACCUUUGCACCCUCCGAGGAUCCGGCAACACCACGAAGUGCGGCCCCGACACAACUUUCUGGCUAAAUACGUGGAUUCGGCAACUAUAGGGGGGCGGCUGACCGAAGUUCGGGGGUAGCUACGGUGAUGCAGCCGCCCCACGGGGGUGCCCGACCCAACUUUCCGGCUAGCAACGGGGAUUCGGUAACUCUACGGGGGGCGGCUUACCCGAUUUUUGGGCGACCUACGGGGAUGCGGCUACCUUAGGGAGUUCGGUCCUGACCCAACUCUGGAGGUGAGUGCACCUCCGUCACCCUCGGAGGAUCCGGCAACCCUAAGCGGCGCGGCCCUGACCCAACUCCGGGGUGAAAGCGAGUCCACGCGGCUUACCAUUGAGGGAUGUGGCAACCUUAAGGGGGCGGCCUACGGGAAAUUUGCUAGGACUCCUAGGGGGGUUGCCGACUCGAGUUUAAAGAUAGCUACGAUGAUAUGCGUUGGCCCCACGGGGGCGCCUGACCUAAAUUUCUGGCUAACAAUUGGGAUUUGGCAACCCUAAGGGGGCAACUAACAGACGUUUGGGGACGUCUACGAUGAUGCGGCCGCCCUACGGGUGCGCCUCACCCAACUCUCUGGCUAACAAUGGGGAUUCGGCAACUCUAGCGGGGCAGCUGACUGAAGUUUGGGUAUAUCUACGGAGAUGCGGCCGCGCUAACCCGAUUUUAUCCUACGUCCGCGGAAAGCAACGGCGACGCUCCUUUCGGAGCCCCGCGGUGCCCCUUUUCCGCGAUCUGCGACCCCGGGUCCCUAUGAUCGUCCGGUUCGCCUCGAUCGCCUCCACCACCUUCGCAAAUCUCGCCUCGAUCCGACGACCCGCCCCGUGGGUGCCCCUCGUUCGCGGGGCUCCCGAGCGCCCCUCGGACGACACCGGGCUCCCGCGAUGACGGCGCCUAACUCCACGACCCCCGCGCUACGGCCCACGCGAAUUUCGGCCCGAUCGCCCGAGCCGUUCCAAAGCCGACCCCGGGGGCGCCGUCUUCGGAGCCCCGCCGCGCCUCUUUCCCGCGCUCGGCGACCCCGGGUCCCUAUGCUCGUCCGGCUCGCCUCGGCCGCCUGCGCUGCCCCCGCGAAUCUCGCGCCGAUCCGCCGACCCACCCCGUGGGUGCCCCUCUUUCGGGGGGCUCCCGAAUGCCCCUAAGACUUUUGCGGACUCCCGCGACGACGGCGCCUCGCUGCGCAAUCCCAGCGCUACGCCCCACGCGAAUCUCAGCCCGAUCAGCAGGGCCGUUCCCGAGCCACCCCCGGGGGCGGCAACUUCGGGGCCCUGCCGCGCUCCUUUCCCGCGCUCGGCGACCCCAGGUCCCUAUGCUCGUCCGGCUCGCCUCGACCGCCUCCUCCACCCCUGAAAAUCUCGCGCCGAUCCGCCGACACACCCCGUGGGCGCUCCCGGUUCGCGGGGCUCCCGGGCGCCCCGCGGACUUUUGCGGGGCGAACGGACCCUUGCGGUGGCCUCCCGGGUUGCCGUGGAACCCGCCCGCCGAAUUUCGGCACGA